UGAAAUGAUGAUAGUGAUUGUCGCCCCAGUCUUAAUUUGCACCACAAUGGUGUAACAUGGUGACUGACUUUUAUAUCUGAUCU